AGUCCCAUAAGAUGGCAACUGGUAAUGCUGGGCCUGCUACAGACCGUUUAUGAACACACACAGCUCCUGCUGCACCACAGAAGGCAGUGAGAAUAAAUACGUGUUGCCUUCUGGGCUCCACUGAUGACCCUGAGUGAGCAUGUAAUGUGUCCCAUAUCUGGAAGGAGCUGAAACCUGUGUCAGUGUCCACGGUGUUUGAAUAGUCUGGUUUUAAUAGAAACAUGAAAACGCCAUAUGGAGCCAGACAACCAUUUCCUUCCUUCAGUGUGUUUGAAAUAGAGUGGCCUGGAUUGGUCCUUGAUAUGCAAUUACUUCACGGAGUACACAGGACUACAGCACGAGUAUUGGAGUCAUUAACUGAAGUGAUCAUCAUUAAAAAAGAGCACCAUUAG
rnacentral:lncRNA from 1 species